rnacentral:misc_RNA from 1 species
GAUGAUGAACGCAGCGAAAUGCGAUAAGUAAUGUGAAUUGCAGAAUUCAGUGAAUCAUCGAAUCUUUGAACGCACAUUGCGCCCGUCAGUAUUCUGGCGGGCAUGCCUGUUCGAGCGUCAUUACGCCCCUCAAGUCCCCUGUGGACUUGGUGUUGGGGAUCGGCGAGGCUGGUUUUCCAGCACAGCCGUCCCUUAAAUUAAUUGGCGGUCUCGCCGUGGCCCUCCUCUGCGCAGUAGUAAAACACUCGCAACAGGAGCCCGGCGCGGUCCACUGCCGUAAAACCCCCCAACUUUUUAUAGUUGACCUCGAAUCAGGUAGGACUACCCGCUGAACUUAAGCAUAUCAAUAAGCGGAGGA